rnacentral:rRNA from 1 species
GAUGAACGCUGGCGGCGUGCCGAAUACAUGCAAGUCGAGCGAACGGACGAGAAGCUUGCUUCUCUGAUGUUAGCGGCGGACGGGUGAGUAACACGUGGAUAACCUACCUAUAAGACUGGGAUAACUUCGGGAAACCGGAGCUAAUACCGGAUAAUAUUUUGAACCGCAUGGUUCAAAAGUGAAAGACGGUCUUGCUGUCACUUAUAGAUGGAUCCGCGCUGCAUUAGCUAGUUGGUAAGGUAACGGCUUACCAAGGCAACGAUGCAUAGCCGACCUGAGAGGGUGAUCGGCCACACUGGAACUGAGACACGGUCCAGACUCCUACGGGAGGCAGCAGUAGGGAAUCUUCCGCAAUGGGCGAAAGCCUGACGGAGCAACGCCGCGUGAGUGAUGAAGGUCUUCGGAUCGUAAAACUCUGUUAUUAGGGAAGAACAUAUGUGUAAGUAACUGUGCACAUCUUGACGGUACCUAAUCAGAAAGCCACGGCUAACUACGUG